AUUGAACGCUGGCGACAGGCCUAACACAUGCAAGUCGAACGAGUGGCGGACGGGUGAGUAAUGUCUGGGAAACUGCCUGCUGGAGGGGGAUAACUACUGGAAACGGUAGCUACUACAGCAUACCAUCAGAUGUGCCCAGAUGGGAUUAGCUUGUUGGUGGGGUAACGGCUCACCAAGGCGACGAUCCCUAGCUGGGCUGAGAGGAUGACGAGCCAUACUGGCACUGUGACACGGUCCAGAAUCCUACGGGAGGCAGGAAUGGGGAAUAUCGUCCAAUUGACGGACGCCUGAUGCAGGAAUGCCGCGUGUAUGAAGAAGGCCUUCGGGUUGUAAAGUACUUUCAGCUGGGAGGCGUUACCCGCAGAAGAAGCACCGGAUAACUCCGGGCCAGCCGCCGCGGUAAUUG
rnacentral:rRNA from 1 species